AUGUCUCCUGGUACAUCCAGGUUCUCGGAGAACAGAGACUCACAGCAAACCGUCAGGGUUGGAAGUCCGGGAGAGCUCCCAAGGCGGGCAAGCGGCCCUUUCCCCCAGUGCCCCGCCGAGCCGCGGCCCAGGCGGGCGGCCGGGAGCCGCCCCAAGCGCCGGGCUCGGGCAUCCGGGCGCUUGCUGGAGCCGCAGGGGCGGAGAAGCGAGCGGCGGCGCGGCAGGAGAGCACAGGAGGGCACCGCCGCUCCGCCACCCCGGCCCGCCCAGCCGCCCCCGCUCCUCUCCUUCACCUGCCGGGGCUCGAACGGAGCCCGGACACGGGGCCCGCCGCCGGCCGUCCCCAAGCGCGGCCGCUCGCGUCCUGCCAGCGGCGGUCUGGCUCUUCUCUGCUGCCCGGGGGGCGGGCAGCCGCGGGACGCCGGCGGGCGAGGGGCCAGCGAGCUCCGCUCGUGUGCGUGCGUGUGUCCCGCCGCGGGGACUGUCCCUGCUGCCGAGGCGAGCGCGGCCGGAGGCACGCGGGCCUCACCUGGCGCUGUCCCGCACCUUGCGGGAGGAGCGGCAGGCGGGGCGAGCCGGGGCCCGGCCCGUUGCGCCGCCGCCGCCGCCGGGGGCCGGUCUCCCGCCGGGCGCGGGGGGGAGCCGAGGCGGCGGCCCCCGCCCGCCGUAACCGCUCCCCCUCCCGCCCGCUGGUGCCGCCCCCAGCAUGGCGACACGGUAGAGGAGCGGCUGCGCCGGGGCGACCGCCCCCUCCCGCCUCCUCGGCACGGGCACGGCGCGCCGCGGGUGAGCGAGCGGCCUCGGCGGCGCUGCUGCCGCCGGUGCCCCGCACAGGGCUCAGCGGCGGCGGACGAGGAGGAGGAUGGCGGUGACGGUCGCGGCGGCGGCGGGCACAGCAGCAGCAGCAGCGGCGGCGGGGCCGAGCGGCCGCGCGGCGGGAGCCAGCACCGUCCCGAGCAGCUCAUGGUGGCGCCCCAGACCCGCCAGCAGCGGCCGCGCCGGGGCCGCCAGCUGAGCCGGAUCCCGGCGGGCGGCUCUCCCCUCUCCACACCGACCCACCGAGCGACCCGUCCCCCUCCCCCGACUCUCCCUCUCCCCCCUCCCCGGCGCGACCCGCGCCUCGGAUCGCACCCGCCGGGACCGGACUGCCAGCACCCUCGGGCGCCGCGGGGAAGGCGGCGGCGGCGAAGGGCACCGGGCAGCGCCCGGCGGCGGCGGGACCAUGGGCGCGAAGCAGAGCAGCCCCACCGCCGCCAAUGGCCGCACCCGGGCGUACUCGGGCGGGGAUCUGCCUUCCUCGAGCAGCAGCAGUAG
rnacentral:lncRNA from 1 species